GGGGGACGAGGGUGGACAGGUGGUGCAUGGUUGUCGUCAGCUCGUGUCGUGAGAUGUUGGGUUAAGUCCCGCAACGAGCGCAACCCUUGUCCUUAGUUACCAGCACGUUAUGGUGGGCACUCUAAGGAGACUGCCGGUGACAAACCGGAGGAAGGUGGGGAUGACGUCAAGUCAUCAUGGCCCUUACGGCCUGGGCUACACACGUGCUACAAUGGUCGGUACGAAGGGUUGCCAAGCCGCGAGGUGGAGCUAAUCCCAUAAAACCGAUCGUAGUCCGGAUCGCAGUCUGCAACUCGACUGCGUGAAGUCGGAAUCGCUAGUAAUCGUGAAUCAGAAUGUCACGGUGAAUACGUUCCCGGGCCUU
rnacentral:rRNA from 1 species